UACGGGGGGGGCAAGCGUUGUUCGGAAUUACUGGGCGUAAAGGGCUCGUAGGUGGCCAACUAAGUCAGACGUGAAAUCCCUCGGCUUAACCGGGGAACUGCGUCUGAUACUGGAUGGCUUGAGUUCGGGAGAGGGAUGCGGAAUUCCAGGUGUAGCGGUGAAAUGCGUAGAUAUCGGCAGGAACACCCGUGGCGAAAGCGGCCACCUAGCCCAUAUCUGACGCUGAUGCGCGACAGCGUGGGGAGCGAACUGG
rnacentral:rRNA from 1 species